rnacentral:rRNA from 1 species
GGGGAAUCUUCGGAUCCUACCACGAAGAGAUGAGCCCAUGUCCUAUCAGCUAGUUGGUGAGGUAAUGGCUCACCAAGGCUUACGGGUAGCCGGCCUGAGAGGGUGAUCGGCCACACUGGGACUGAGACACUGCCCAGACUCCUACGGGAGGCUGCAGUCGAGAAUCAUUGACAAUGUACGAAAGUAUGAUCAUGCGACGCCGCGUGGAGGAAGACGGCCUUUGGGUUGUAAACUCCUGUCAGCAGGGAAGAAAGGUAGCAUUACUAAUAAUUUUGCUAUUUGACGGUACCUGCAGAGGAAGUCACGGCUAACUCUGUGCCAGCAGCCGCGGUAAUACAGAGGUGGCGAACGUUGUUCGGAUUUACUGGGCGUAAAGGGUCCGCAGGCGGAUCGGUGUGUCAGAUGUGAAAGCCCACAGCUUAACUGUGGAAUUGCAU